GAUGAACGCUGACAGAAUGCUUAACACAUGCAAGUCUACUUGAAUUUGGGUUUUUUAACUUAGAUUUGGGUGGCGGACGGGUGAGUAACGCGUAAAGAACUUGCCUCACAGCUAGGGACAACAUUUGGAAACGAAUGCUAAUACCUGAUAUUAUGAUUAUAAGGCAUCUUAGACUUAUGAAAGCUAUAUGCGCUGUGAGAGAGCUUUGCGUCCCAUUAGCUAGUUGGAGAGGUAACGGCUCACCAAGGCGAUGAUGGGUAGCCGGCCUGAGAGGGUGAACGGCCACACGGGGACUGAGAGACGGCCCUUACUCCCACGGGCGGCAGCAGUGAGGAAUAAUGGACAAUGGACCAAGAGUCUGAUCAAGCAAUUCUGUGUGGACGAUGACGUUUUUCGGAAUGUAAAGUGCUUUCAGUUGGGAAGAAAAAAAUGACGGUACCAACAGAAGAAGUGACGGCUAAAUACGUG
rnacentral:rRNA from 1 species